GGUAUUGCAGGCGGUGAGAUUUAGACGAGACGUGAGGCACGUACGUAGCGGUUGAUAGAUCUUUCGACCCAGGUCGUUCGGUUUAGCUCUUACCCUGUUUAUUUUUGUUGAUAUAUAGCUUAGAUAGUUUAUAUGGUUCAGUAUUUUUAUUACAUUUGAAUAUGUGGAUUUUCAUGAAUGUAAUAAAAGGUUUUCUACCCCUCGUGGUAGCGUUUUUAANUACAUUUGAAAAUGUGGAUUUCUGGAUUUUGUAAAAUAAAAGGUUUUCUACCCCUCGUGGUAGCGUUUUUAAAGAAUAAAAGUUUUUGUAUAGAAAAUAGUUUUCUAAAGAAUUGUCUGUGGAUUUAUGUUUAAAUAUUAAAUGCAAAUCUAUGAUGUGAAUGGUGAAUGUAUGAAUGUAUGAAUGAAUAAUUAUUUCUAUAUUUAUUUAGUUGUGGUUGUAUCCUGUUUAUAAUGUUGUACUUGUGCGACGCCGUGCAAAUACAGGGGAGACUCUGUCCGUGUGAACAGUGGAAUCCCUAUAUU
rnacentral:lncRNA from 1 species